CGUGGGUAACCUGCCCAAGAGAUCGGGAUAACACCUGGAAACAGAUGCUAAUACCGGAUAAUAACAGAUGAUGCCUAUCAACUGUUUAAAAGAUGGUUCUGCUAUCACUCUUGGAUGGACCUGCGGUGCAUUAGCUAGUUGGUAGGGUAACGGCCUACCAAGGCGAUGAUGCAUAGCCGAGUUGAGAGACUGAUCGGCCACAUUGGGACUGAGACACGGCCCAAACUCCUACGGGAGGCAGCAGUU
rnacentral:rRNA from 1 species